ACGUAGGUCCCGAGCGUUAUCCGGAUUUACUGGGCGUAAAGGGCGCGUAGGCGGCCACCGCAAGUCGACUGUGAAAUCUCCGGGCUUAACCCGGAAAGGUCAGCCGAUACUGCGGGGCUAGAGUGCAGAAGGGGCAACUGGAAUUCUCGGUGUAGCGGUGAAAUGCGUAGAUAUCGAGAGGAACACCUGCGGCGAAGGCGGGUUGCUGGGCUGACACUGACGCUGAGGCGCGAAAGCUAGGGGAGCGAACGGGA
rnacentral:rRNA from 1 species